ACGCUGGCGGCGUGCCUAAUACAUGCAAGUCGAGCGAACGGAUAAGGAGCUUGCUCCUUUGAAGUUAGCUGGCGGACGGGUGAGUAACACGUGGGUAACCUACCUAUAAGACUGGAAUAACUUCGGGAAACCGGAGCUAAUGCCGGAUAACAUUUGGAACCGCAUGGUUCUAAAGUAAAAGAUGGUUUUGCUAUCACUUAUAGAUGGACCCGCGCCGUAUUAGCUAGUUGGUAAGGUAACGGCUUACCAAGGCAACGAUACGUAGCCGACCUGAGAGGGUGAUCGGCCACACUGGAACUGAGACACGGUCCAGACUCCUACGGGAGGCAGCAGUAGGGAAUCUUCCGCAAUGGACGAAAGUCUGACGGAGCAACGCCGCGUGAGUGAUGAAGGUUUUCGGAUCGUAAAACUCUGUUAUUAGGGAAGAACAAAUGUGUAAGUAACUGUGCACAUCUUGACGGUACCUAAUCAGAAAGCCACGGCUAACUACGUGCCAGCAGCCGCGGUAAUACGUAGGUGGCAAGCGUUAUCCGGAAUUAUUGGGCGUAAAGCGCGCGUAGGCGGUUUCUUAAGUCUGAUGUGAAAGCCCACGGCUCAACCGUGGAGGGUCAUUGGAAACUGGGAAACUUGAGUACAGAAGAGGAAAGUGGAAUUCCAUGUGUAGCGGUGAAAUGCGCAGAGAUAUGGAGGAACACCAGUGGCGAAGGCGACUUUCUGGUCUGUAACUGACGCUGAUGUGCGAAAGCGUGGGGAUCAAACACGAUUAGAUACCCUGGGUAGUCCACGCCGUAAACGAUGAGUGCUAAGUUGUUAGGGGGCUUCCGCCCCUUAGUGCUGCAGCUAACGCAUUAAGGCACUCCGCCUGGGGAGUACGACCGCAAGGUUGAAACUCAGAGGGAAUUGAACGGGGACCCCGCACAAGGCGGGUGCAGCAUGUGGCUUUAGUACGAAGGCAACCCGAAGAAACGUUAACCGAAUUCUGGACAUCCCUUUGAAA
rnacentral:rRNA from 1 species